GGGGAUGUAGCUCAGCGGGAGAGCGCUUGCUUUGCAUGCAAGAGGCCUUGGGACCAACCCUGAGCAUCUCCA
rfam:Ficedula albicollis isolate OC2 chromosome 7, whole genome shotgun sequence.